ensembl:lncRNA
GUGAGACCUCCGUUCAUCUUCGGAACACAGUAUAAGAUAUUUUAGAUUUAGUCCGAGAGCUUUCUGUCCCUCCAUUGAGAAUGUAUGUACGGUAUACUGUCCACGUCCAGAAAGGUAAUAAAAACAUCUUCAAAGUAGUCCAUGUGACCAUCAUGACAGAAAUUCACAAAUGUAUAAAUUGUAAGAAAAAAACAGCUGCAGUGUGAGACCUGAAAUGCAUCAUGUAACUUGAAGAAUUAAAAUACUGUCUACACAUGUGUUUGUAAGGAAGGUUGGGAAUUAAUAACUUACAUUUAACUUAUACUUAAUAAUUUCUUUAUCCAAAACGGCUGUCACGUCAUGUGACAAAAGAUCUCAGACCGAAGACUCGGGAGGUGAACUAAUUAUUUGUCUUUGCGGUACAGACUGCACAGCCUCUCUAUGGGAUGAAUGAACGACUCAAAGAGGUGAACUAUUUCUAUUUCCUGUAAAGAACCUAUAGGAUGUUGCACAUGCAUCGUCAACACAAAAUGAAUAAAUCCCUGGCUGAGACAACUCUUGUCAAAUUGAACAGUGUACAGAGUAGGAGGUAUGAUAAUAUUGUGUAUCUAACUAGUGACAUUUCACAUAUUGUAGAUAGCUAGUUAAUUCUUUGAAAGUCAGGCGUGACUAUAAAGUUAUAUAACAGUAUAAUAAGUGAAAACAGCCUUCUGUUAUGUUAAUUUCUUUGUAAUAUUUCCCAUAAUUAUCAACAUUGUUGUUCACACUGGAAGUAAGUAUAGUUAAGCUAUAUCCAAUGAGCAAGAGUGUCCUCACAAUUGCAAAUAUGAACAGUUAUAAAAAAAUGAAUGCAAUGUUGAAUAAAAUAUAUUUCUAAUAUAUUGCAAUUUCACCAACAAAAAUAGUUUGAAACAAAGCCACAGCUGAACCAAUUUCGCUGCGCAACACUGGUGUUUGUUUCAUCCCUGAGCAUCCCUCGUUUUUGAACAAAUUGCCUACAUAAACAAUUAAAGUGACUUACUCAUUAAAACUUAGUGACUCUGCCACCUACCGAUGUUUUAAUUUAAUAUUUAACAUAUAAAUUAGUUUGGAC